CCUACGGGAGGCAGCAGUGAGGAAUAUUGGUCAAUGGGCUUACGCCUGAACCAGCCAAGUCGCGUGAGGGAAGACUGCCCUAUGGGUUGUAAACCUCUUUUGUCAGGGAGCAACGCCGGCUACGUGUAGCCGGACUGAGAGUACCUGAAGAAAAAGCAUCGGCUAACUCCGUGCCAGCAGCCGCGGUAAUACGUAUGGGGCAAGCGUUAUCCGGAUUUACUGGGUGUAAAGGGAGCGCAGGCGGCCUGCCAAGUCUGGUGUGAAAACCCGGGGCCCAACCCCGGGCCUGCAUUGGCAACUGGCGG
rnacentral:rRNA from 1 species